rnacentral:rRNA from 1 species
CUUACACAUGCAAGUCGAACGGCAGCACGGGAGCAAUCCUGGUGGCGAGUGGCGAACGGGUGAGUAAUACAUCGGAACGUGUCCUGUAGUGGGGGAUAGCCCGGCGAAAGCCGGAUUAAUACCGCAUACGAUCUGCGGAUGAAAGCGGGGGCUCCUUCGGGACCUCGCGCUACAGGGGCGGCCGAUGGCAGAUUAGCUAGUUGGUGGGGUAAAGGCCUACCAAGGCGACGAUCUGUAGCUGGUCUGAGAGGACGACCAGCCACACUGGGACUGAGACACGGCCCAGACUCCUACGGGAGGCAGCAGUGGGGAAUUUUGGACAAUGGGCGAAAGCCUGAUCCAGCAAUGCCGCGUGUGUGAAGAAGGCCUU